rnacentral:lncRNA from 1 species
GAACGUUAUUCAAGAAAACUAAUAAAUCUUUACCCACAAGUUAUGUUAAAUAAUAAAAUAAAAUUAUCAUCCGACUCACUGUGAAAAAGAAAGGAUUGGAGUUCAAUGUGGUAUCUGGAUUAUGGAUUGUCUCUUGUGUUCGGGGCACUAACUAAUUUUCUGGAUUGUCUACAGGAUUCUUCUUACGGGAAAUUGAACUGUUUGUUCUUCAGAAAUAGGGUCUUGGAUGAUCUCGAAGAAAUAUCAGUAGUUCUCGGAAUAGGUUGUAGGAUGAUUCUCUUUUUAUUUUAAUAUCACAUACAUUGGAGUACACGCCAAAUUUCAACAAUGAGUAAAGUUA